UCCCAUGGGCCGAGGCUGGAG
rnacentral:snRNA from 1 species